GAUGAAGAACGCAGCGAAUUGCGAUAAGUAAUGUGAAUUGCAGAUUUUCAGUGAAUCAUCGAAUCUUUGAACGCACAUUGCGCCCGGUAGUAUUCUGCCGGGCAUGCCUGUUCGAGCGUCAUUUCAACCAUCAAGCCCCAGCGCUUGUGUUGGGGGCCUGCGGCUGCCGCAGCCCCCUAAAAGCAGUGGCGGGCUCGCUAUCACACCGAGUGCAGUAGUUCAUCUUCUCUCCGGUCUUGUGAGGCGGGUUCCGGCCGUGAAACACCCCACUACAUUCAAGGUUGACCUCGGAUCAGGUAGGAAUACCCGCUGAACUUAAGCAUAUCAAUAAGCGGAGGA
rnacentral:misc_RNA from 1 species